rnacentral:piRNA from 1 species
UCUAUUCCUGACCGGCAUUCU